UACGGGAGGCAGCAGUGAGGAAUAUUGGUCAAUGGACGAGAGUCCUGAACCAGCCAAAUUCGCGUGAAGGAAGACUGCCCUACGAGGUUGUAAACUUCUUUUGUACAGGAAUAAAAGACAUUACGUGUAAUGUAUGCAUGUACUUACGCUAACCC
rnacentral:rRNA from 1 species